UACAGAGGGGGCAAGCGUUGUUCGGAAUUACUGGGCGUAAAGGGCGCGUAGGUGGCCUUCUAAGUUGAACGUGAAAUCCCUGGGCUCAACCCAGGAACUGCGUCCAAGACUGGGAGGCUUGAGUCCGGGAGAGGUGAGUGGAACUGCGAGUGUAGAGGUGAAAUUCGUAGAUAUUCGCAAGAACACCAGUGGCGAAGGCGGCUCACUGGCCCGAUACUGACGCUGAGGCACGAAAAGCGUGGGGGAGCAAACAGGG
rnacentral:rRNA from 1 species